GGCUUCCUGGUGCUUAACACAGGCUGAAUUCUUACACUGACUGUAUAGAAAAGGAGGUAGAGUAAACUACCCAUAUACCCCUCAGCCCAGGCUCUGUGCCUGAUCUAUAUUAUGAACGUGGGAACAGAG
ensembl:snoRNA